CCUACGGGAGGCUGCAGUGAGGAAUAUUGGUCAAUGGGCGCGAGCCUGAAGCAGCCAAGUAGCGUGAAGGAUGACGGCCCUACGGGUUGUAAACUUCUUCUAUAAAGGAAUAAAGUGAGGCACGUGUGCCUUUUUGUAUGUACUUUAUGAAUAAGGAUCGGCUAACUCAGUGCCAGCAGCCGCGGUAAUACAGAGGAUCCGAGGGUUACUUGGAUUUAUUGGGUUUAAGGGGAGCGUAGAUGGGUUGUUAAGUCAGUUGUGAAAGUUUGCGGCUCAACCGUAAAAUUGCAAUUGAUACUGGCAGUCUUGAGUACAGUUGAGGUAGGUGGAAUUCGUGGUGUAGCGGUGAAAUGCGUAGAGAUCACGAAGAACUCCGGUUGCGAAGGCAGCUUACUAAACUGCCACUGACAUUGAUGCUCGAAAGUGUGGGUAUCAAACAGGAUUAGAUACCCCAGUAGUC
rnacentral:rRNA from 1 species